rnacentral:misc_RNA from 1 species
GCGUGGCAGGCUCCCCGCAUGUACGUGCGGCCAACUGUCGUGGGGCUGUCUUCUCAAUGUCCCUUCGUUUAUCCAUUUUGGAUCCUCGGAGUGCCUCCGAUCUGGUUGCCUGUGCGGUCAUACCUUUGUUGGUAUCACAUAUGUGUCUUGCUCUUUGGUUUUUGCUUGCUUUGUUGAUGCUAUGCAUUGAUGGGCGGACGAGGUGUUGACAAAUUCCAUGCGCUGCGAUGCACUUUGCGUGUCGGAACUGUUAUUGGAUGUUUGUCAGGUCUCACGGAUAUCAGUCCCUAGUUGAGCGGUCUGCGGGCUUCAAGCUCGCAGGCUCAUGGUGUUGCCCAUACAAAUAAAUUUGCUGCGGAUGUUUCAUGGACAUGUUGUGCCCUGUUGGGAUUCAUGUUGAGGGAUGUCGCUCGCCGCAUGUUUGCGUGUAUGUGCAUAUCCUUACUGACCCUAAAUGAUAGCGAUUGCCGGUCUGCAUUGUCACGGGGAG